rnacentral:lncRNA from 1 species
AAAAAUAAAGGGUCGGGCCUAUUCCACGCCAUUUUAAGCCCUUGUAUGGCCCUCAUGUGGAGGGUUGGGCCAAAGCCUACGGGUCUGAGUUGGGCCACACUAAUCCAGUGAGACGGCUUCGAUUGAUUGGGCCGAUUGGAGUCCAAUGCCUUUUCCUAGGGCCAUUGGACCAAAAGAUGUGAACCUGCUGGGCCUUUGGGCUCAAAAAAUCGGAUAUGCCGAAGCACCCAAUCCUACUAGAGACCACUUUACGCAUCAUCAAUAACUACAUGAACUAGCUAGUUUGAAUAUUAUCACAAUAUUAAGUAAACAACACAAUUGAAAACACAAAAUUUUGAAAGAGAGACCACUUUACACUUCAUCAAUAAUUCAUGCCUUACUCCUCACAACUAGCAUACACCAAUUUAGUGUUUAAAAAAAAAAGAAGAAGUUAUUAAAAGAUUAGAGAAACCUUUUUUUUUCAUUUUGAAUGAAAAAGUCUCACAGUACCCACGAGCCAAGCUGGUAUGAAAAAGUGAUAAUAUAUAAAGAUAUA